UGGGGAAUUUUGGACAAUGGGGGAAACCCUGAUCCAGCCAUCCCGCGUGUGCGAUGAAGGCCUUCGGGUUGUAAAGCACUUUUGGCAGGAAAGAAACGUCGCGGGUUAAUACCCCGCGAAACUGACGGUACCUGCAGAAUAAGCACCGGCUAACUACGUGCCAGCAGCCGCGGUAAUACGUAGGGUGCAAGCGUUAAUCGGAAUUACUGGGCGUAAAGCGUGCGCAGGCGGUUCGGAAAGAAAGAUGUGAAAUCCCAGAGCUUAACUUUGGAACUGCAUUUUUAACUACCGGGCUAGAGUGUGUCAGAGGGAGGUGGAAUUCCGCGUGUAGCAGUGAAAUGCGUAGAUAUGCGGAGGAACACCGAUGGCGAAGGCAGCCUCCUGGGAUAACACUGACGCUCAUGCACGAAAGCGUGGGGAGCAAACAGGAUUAGAUACCCUGGUAGUCCACGCCCUAAACGAUGUCAACUAGCUGUUGGGGCCUUCGGGCCUUGGUAGCGCAGCUAACGCGUGAAGUUGACCGCCUGGGGAGUACGGUC
rnacentral:rRNA from 1 species